rnacentral:lncRNA from 1 species
AAAAAAUUUGAUUGGGGUUUUGAUUAUGUGUGUGCCUUAUAUGCUUUGACUCUGACAUGUGCAUUUAGACUCGUACUCUUUUAUUCAUCAUAUGUACGACUCUGAGGUUCCAUCUAAGUUCACUUUGUCUGUGGAGUUUUGGGUAUAUGGCUCGUCAUUCACCUUUGCACAGUGCACACCGUAGUCCUGUAAAUGAGACUUGACCGCAUGGGUGAGACUUGGGAUGGUGGUCUACUAUGAUUGGGGUUGUGUGUCCAUUUGACUUGAUCUAGGACGAGUGUCACCUAAUCAUAAUGUCUUUCUCCACGUUUAUUGUAUAUUGUCAAACUUUUGCUAUGUUUGGGGCCUAUUUGACUCGAACUAUUAAGCCCGAGGGGUUUUUAACCUGGUGCCCUAAGGUCGUCUGGCUUGGGAGUCACCGGCCCAACGUUCGCUACGGGGGUCAUUUCUGUCGCCUAAUGAGGAUAGCAUUGCACUUAAGUUCGCUUGUUUAAAAAAAAAAAAAAACAUGAGAUCAUUAAGUUAGGGGGAGUAAAAAUGUGACAUUUGUAUCAUUUGAUAUAGGUCCUCGUGGUAUUGGAUUUGAUUGUCACUUGGUCGACAUACACCUUUGUUUGGUUAGCUUCACGUGUCCCUUCUCACUAAUUUAAGGUUUUGAGUCUAGCUUGCAUGGACUACGUGGCACUUUUCACGGUGUUGGUCUGUAUACACUUGACUCCACGGGUAUUUGAUCUCUGUGUGGACUUAUGUUCUGUCUAUAUGCUGG